ACACCAGUAUUUGAAUAUUUAAAUGGAAAGUUUCAAGCUACAAUGAAACCACCUGCUCCAUCUUGCUGUUUCUAGGCGGGAGGCAUCUAUAAAAUUGUUUUAUUAAGGCAGGAGUCUAGAGAUCAAAGAAGUUCAUUGUCUUCUCUGCAUGCCUCAGAUUCUAAAAAGGAUAUUCGCUGUCAACUUCACAUCAGAGAUGUGGUCCAUUUUGAAAGAAAUAUUGCAAGAGAGAUUUGAAACAUUUCCUCAGAAAGACAGCUUUAUCUUCUUGUUUCACUGCCAAUCUGUCAUUCUUCUUUUUGUCUGUUUUAGUGCUAUGGAUUUGGUUUCCAUGAUUAAAGUUACCCAGAAGACAUAUUAAUCCCUGGAUCUUUGUUAACUCUAAUUUUGUGUUUAUCAAAUAUUAAUAGGCACACGAAUUCCCUUAGGAAAGUAUUAUAAGUCUGAGGUAGAUAGAUUAUGUGUUUAAACAAACUUGAAAUGAUUCAGGAUCUUCAUCCAGGAAAGAUUCUAUACCUUCUGUAAAAGCAUAGGUUUUGAUCUCUCUCUCUCUCUCUCUCUCUCUCUCUCUCUCUCUCUCUCUCUCUCUCACUUAUUUAUUUUACACUUUAGGUUUUAUUCCCCUCCCAGUCCACCCUCCAACUGCUCCACAUCCCAUUCCUCCUCCCUGUCCCCUGUCUCCAUGAGGAUGUCCCCACCACCCACUGCCCACCCAACUGGACCUCUAAAUCUCUAAACUCGCUGGGGCCUCCAGUCUCUUGAGGGUUAGGUGUACCUUCUCUGACUGAACCCAGACCCGGCAGUCUUCUUCUGCAUAUGUGUUGGUGGCCUCAUAUCAGCUGGUGUGUGCUGCCUGGAUGGUGGUCCAGUUUUUGAAAGAUCUCUCAGGUCUAGGUUAAUUGAGACUGUUGGUCCUCCUACAGGGUCACCCUCCUCCUCAUCUUCCUCCAGUUUUCCCUAGUUUAACCACUGGGGUCAGCAGGUUCUGUCCAUUGGCUAGGUGUAAAUAUCUGCAUCUGACUCAGCUGCUUGUUGGGUCUUUCAGAGGGCAGUCCCCUUUUGUGAGCGCUCCAUAGCCUCAGUAAUAGUGUCAGGCCUUGGGACCUUCCCUAGAGCUGGAGCCCACUUUGGGCUUGUUGAGGACCUUCUUUUCCUCAGGCACCUCUCCAUUUCCAUCCCUGCAGUUCUUUCAGACAGGAACAAUUAUGGGUCAGAAUUUUAACACUGGGAUGUCAAACCCCUCCCUCACUUGAUGUCUUCUGUCUUCCCACUGGAGGUGGGCUCUAUAAGUUCCCUCUCCCUACUCUUAGGCAUUUCAUCUAAGGUUCCCCCCCACCACUUUUUGAGGCCUGAGAGUCUCUCACCUCCCAGGUCUCUGGUACAUUCUGGAGCCCCCCCCCCCCACCUUCUACCGCCCAAGGUUGCCUGUUUCUAUUCUUUCUGCUGACCCUGGGGGUUUCAGUCCUUUCCUUCACUCGAUACCAGACCAGGUUUCCUUCUUCCUCUCUGCUUCCCCUGCAAACUUUUCCUCCCAGGUCUCUCCCUCCCUCCCCACUUGUGAUUGCUUUCUUCUCACUCCAAAGUGAGACUGAGGCAUCCUCACUUAGGCUCUUCAGCUUAUUGACAUUUUUGAGCUCUGUGGACAGUAUCUUGGGUGUUCUGUCUUUUUUUGUGUGUGUGAUAAUAUUCACUUGUUAGAGAGUAUAUACCAUGCAUGUCCUUUUGGGUCUGAGUUACUUCACUCAGGAUGAUAUUUUCUAGUUCCAUACAUUUGCCUGCAAAACUCAGGGUGUCCUCAUUCUUAAUAGCUAAAUAGUAUUCCAUUGUGUAAAUGAACCACAUUUUCUGUACCCAUUCUUCUGUGGAGAGACAUCUGGGUUGUUUCAAACUUCUGCCUAUAACAAAUAAGGUCACAAUGGGAACACAUGCCCUUGUGGCAUGGUGGGGCAUCUUUUGGGUAUAUUCCAUAGAGUGGUAUUUCUGGGUCUUCAGGUAAAUAUAUUUCCAAUUUCUGAGGGACCUCCAGAUUGAUUUCCAGAAUGGUUAUAUCAGUUUGCAAUCCCACCAGCAAUGGAGGAGUGUUCUUUCUCUACAUCCUCACCAACACGUGUUGUCAUCUGAGGUUUUGAUCUUAGCCAUUCUCAUUGGUGUAAGAUAGAAUCUCAGGGUCACUUUGAUUUGUACUUCUCUGAUCACUAAGGACUUUAAACAUUUCUUUAGGUGCCUCUCUGCCAUUUGAAAUUACUCUGUUGUGACUUCUCGAUCUAGAUCUAUACUCCAUUUUUGGAUUGGGUUGUUUGGGGUUUUUGGUGGUUAGCUUCUUGAGUUCUUUAUAUAUUUUGGAUAUUUUUUGUUAUUAUUGUUUUCAUUGCUUAUAGGAUAUAAUACUAUUUGCAUUGAAAAGGCUAUAUUCUGACCUGGGAUCAUUUUCUCUAAUUGUUCUUAACACUGCUGUAUUUUCCUGCAUCAUGAGGCAAUGCUUCAAUGCUCAAUGUAGGGGCCCAAGAGGGCUCUGGAGGCAAAAAAGAAGUAUAUGAAGUGAGACAGAAAUAAGUGUUAUGUGCUGAAAUCUCAAAAACAUAAGAAGCAAACCUUCCUGCUAAGUUAGAGAGAUUGAUUCUCAGUAGCCUAUGGUAUAAAGAGACAUUAGCAGUGGUUGGCCUUGAAUCUGCUCAUUGCUGGCAGGAGAUGUUUAUUUUUGUAGCUGGUUUGUCCAUAACUUAUAAUUUUUGUUAAUGGGGCAUUUCUAUCCAACACACACACACACACACACACACACACACACACACACACACACACAUGAAUUUCACUCCCUCUAAGGAAGGCUUGGAUUCACCUAGCUCUUGUCUGCACAGGUAUCACAGAACAUGAAAACCUCCCCUCGGGGUGGAAUUUUUUCCUAUGAGUGUCAAGGCUUAAUAAAUGAAAGAAUUAACACUGUUGAAAUCCCCUCUAUGAAGAUCUCAGUUGUGACAUUCUAUGUUGACAUACUGCUUCUACAGCCAAAGGGGGCAAGGACUUGUUCUUUUCUUACACAUAUUUAUUAAGAACAUGGCAAACAUUUUGACAUGGCAUUAUUUUUUAUAGGUUUUCUGUAAAUACAAUUAGAGUUGAAUUAAGUUGAAAUGAUGGCAGUCCUUCUACCAUUUUUUGAAGUUUGCAGUGGUGCUGUUGGGCUCUUUAAUUGCCUACUAAUGUAAAAACAUCAUUGUUAGUAAGGCAUAAAUCAUGGCAAUUUUGUCCCACUAGAGGCUAAAAGCAGCCCGAGAUGUGGUAAUUAAGAUACUCUAAUAGACCUGACAGUUUCUAUAAUAGGAGCUUUUAACAAGGUGGAAAAGAGCAAGUCAUCUCUCAUGCAACAGGAAGGCAACAACAACAACAAAAAAUAGGAAAUUUUCUUCAUAUGAAAGAAGUCACCUGG
rnacentral:lncRNA from 1 species